AUUUCUAUAGUUUAAAAUUAAAAUAUAAUAGUGAAAAUAUUAUGAUAUAAAGUUUAGGAAUA
rnacentral:tRNA from 1 species